UACGUAGGUGGCGAGCGUUGUCCGGAAUUAUUGGGCGUAAAGGGCGUGUAGGCGGAUAGAUAAGUCAGGUGUGAAAGGUUACAGCUUAACUGUAAAAGUGCAUUUGAAACUGUCUAACUAGAGUGUCGGAGAGGAAAGCGGAAUUCCAUGUGUAGCGGUGAAAUGCGUAGAUAUAUGGAGGAACACCAGUGGCGAAGGCGGCUUUCUGGACGACUACUGACGCUGAGGCGCGAAAGCGUGGGGAGCAAAC
rnacentral:rRNA from 1 species